rnacentral:rRNA from 1 species
CAAUAGAUACCCGGGUAGUCCACGCCGUAAACGAUGGAUGCUAGCUGUUAUGAGUAUCGACCCUUGUAGUAGCGAAGCUAACGCGUUAAGCAUCCCGCUUGUGGAGUACGAGCGCAAGCUUAAAACAUAAAGGAAUUGGACGGGGACCCGCACAAGCGGUGGAGCGUGUUGUUUAAUUCGAUGAUAAGCGAAGAACCUUACCAAGGCUUGACAUCCCUGGAAGGUCUCCGAAAGGAGACUGCGCCUUCGGGAAUCAGGUGACAGGUGAUGCAUGGCCGUCGUCAGCUCGUGUCGUGAGAUGUUUGGUUAAGUCCAUCAACGAGCGCAACCCUUGUAAAUAGUUGAAUUUUUCUAUUUAGACUGCCUCGGUAACGGGGAGGAAGGAGGGGAUGAUGUCAGGUCAGUAUUUCCCUUAUGGCCUUGGGGCUACAAACACGCUACAAUGGCCGGUACAAAGGGGCAGCCAACCCGCGAGGGGGGAGCAAAUCCCAUCAAAACCGGUCCCAGGUUCGGAUAGCAGGCUGAAACUCGCCUGCUUAGAAGUCGGAAUCGUACG